GCCCCUAUCUGAAAAAUGAAACUUCUCCUGUUGAAUGCGAGAUUGGUCUUACUGAAAAAAAUAUUUCCAUCAAUUUGAACUUCUAUUAGCAAAUAAACAAAACUAACUAACGUUUCUUUAUAUCUCUUGCAGUCGCUGGAAAGUCGUUAAUGGAUCUGGAUUCUGUCGCCCACAAGAUAAGAUGUCUCCCAAUAUUUGCUACUCACUCUGAAUGACUACACAAGAUAAGCCCAUCUUUAAGAUGUGUCCCAAUCUUUGCUACUCACAUUUGAUGAUUAUACAAAAUCGGCCAACUCAAAGCUCAAGUACGGAUUGUCCACAUUGUUCAAGUGGCCUGCCUCAACACGUAGAAACGUAAUCGCAAAAGGUUUGUUUCAUUUGUAAAGCACUUGUUAUAGCUGAUAAUUAUUUGACGACUUAUCUUUCAUUGACUGUAUAUAAAUAAAAAAUUAAAUGAAUAAAAACUCAAAAUAAAUGAA
rnacentral:sRNA from 1 species